rnacentral:rRNA from 1 species
UAGGGAAUAUUGGACAAUGGGGGCAACCCUGAUCCAGCCAUGCCGCGUGAGUGAAGAAGGCCCUCGGGUUGUAAAGCUCUUUUGUCCGGAAAGAAAAGCUUCGGGUUAAUACCCCGGGGUUCUGACGGUACCGGAAGAAUAAGCACCGGCUAACUUCGUGCCAGCAGCCGCGGUAGUACGAAGGGUGCAAGCGUUACUCGGAAUUACUGGGCGUAAAGCGUGCGUAGGUGGUUGUUUAAGUCUGAUGUGAAAGCCCUGGGCUCAACCCGGGAAUGGCAUUGGAAACUGGGCAGCUAGAGUGCGGUAGAGGGUAGUGGAAUUCCCGGUGUAGCAGUGAAACGCGUAGAGAUCGGGAGGCACAUCUGUGGCGAAGGCGACUGCCUGGACCAGCACUGACACUGAGGCACGAAAGCGUGGGGAGCAAACA